AACGAACGCUGGCGGCAUGCCUAACACAUGCAAGUCGAACGAGACCUUCGGGUCUAGUGGCGCACGGGUGCGUAACGCGUGGGAAUCUGCCUUUGCUUCGGAAUAACAGUUAGAAAUGACUGCUAAUACCGGAUGAUGUCUUCGGACCAAAGAUUUAUCGGCAAAGGAUGAGCCCGCGUAGGAUUAGGUAGUUGGUGGGUAAAGGCCUACCAAGCCGACGAUCCUUAGCUGGUCUGAGAGGAUGAUCAGCCACACUGGGACUGAGACACGGCCCAGACUCCUACGGGAGGCAGCAGUGGGGAAUAUUGGGACAAUGGGCGCAAGCCUGAUCCAGCAAUGCCGCGUGAGUGAUGAAGCCU
rnacentral:rRNA from 1 species